rnacentral:rRNA from 1 species
UACGGGGGGGGCAAGCGUUGUUCGGAAUUACUGGGCGUAAAGGGCUCGUAGGCGGCCAACUAAGUCGGAUGUGAAAUCCCCAAGCUUAACUUGGGAACUGCAUCCGAUACUGGAUGGCUUGAAUCCGGGAGAGGGAUGCAGAAUUCCAGGUGUAGCGGUGAAAUGCGUAGAUAUCGUAAGGAAGACCAGUGGCGAAGGCGGGUCUCUGGACAGUUCCUGACGCUGAGGCACGAAGGCCAGGGGAGCAAACGGG